AACGAACGCUGGCGGCAGGCUUAACACAUGCAAGUCGAACGGGUGCAGCAAUGCAUCAGUGGCAGACGGGUGAGUAACACGUGGGAACCUUCCUAGGGGUACGGAACAACUCAGGGAAACUUGAGCUAAUACCGUAUACGUCCGUGAGGAGAAAGAUUUAUCGCCCUUAGACGGGCCCGCGUCGGAUUAGCUAGUUGGUGGGGUAAAGGCCUACCAAGGCGACGAUCUGUAGCGGGUCUGAGAGGAUGAUCCGCCACACUGGGACUGAGACACGGCCCAGACUCCUACGGGAGGCAGCAGUGGGGAAUAUUGGACAAUGGGGGGAACCCUGAUCCAGCCAUGCCGCGUGUGUGAAGAAGGCCUUAUGGUUGUAAAGCACUUUAAGCGAGGAGGAGGCUCUUUUGGUUAAUACCCAAGAUGAGUGGACGUUACUCGCAGAAUAAGCACCGGCUAACUCUGUGCCAGCAGCCGCCGCGG
rnacentral:rRNA from 1 species